rnacentral:rRNA from 1 species
UUCUGACCGUAAACGAUGCCAACUAGCGAUCCGCCGGUGGUAAUUACGCCCCGGCGGGGAGCUUCCCGGAAACGAAAGUCUUCCGGUUCCGGGGGAAGUAUGGUUGCAAAGCUGAAACUUAAAGGAAUUGACGGAAGGGCACCACCAGGAGUGGAGCUUGCGGCUUAAUUUGACUCAACACGGGGAAACUCACCCGGCCCGGACACCGUAAGGAUUGACAGAUUGAGAGCUCUUUCUUGAUUCGGUGGUUGGUGGUGCAUGGCCGUUCUUAGUUGGUGGAGCGAUUUGUCUGGUUUAUUCCGAUAACGAACGAGACUCUGGCCUACUAACUAGUGACAGGAUUAUCGCUGUCCUGGUUACUUCUUAGAGGGACAAGUGGUGUUCAGCCACACGAAAUUGAGCAAUAACAGGUCUGUGAUGCCCUUAGAUGUCCGGGGCUGCACGCGUGCUACACUGGAGGAAACAGCAUGCAAAACCAUUGCCGAAAGGCAUUGGUAAACCCAAGAAAAUCUUCCGUGAUCGGGAUCGGGAAUUGCAAUUAUUUCCCUUGAACGAGGAAUUCCCAGUAAGUGUGGGUCAUCAGCUCGCGUUG